CAGGACAGAACUUUAUGGAAACACUUUGCCAAGCCAUGUGGUGCUCAGCUUCCCUUUGCAUCAAUACCCUUUUAAUUACCUGAUCCUGAGGGGGAAAAAGUUAGGGAAAAGUGUCAGUGCAAAAGCCUAGGAACCUGCCGUGAAUCAGACUUUUUCAAAAAGACAGCAUGAUAAAAUAUCUGGCAAUUAUUCUACAGGACAUCGAUCUAAAUCCGCAACUAGCCUGCAAAGAUGCUCUCUUUUGAAGAAGUCAUGACUGAAAAUGUGGUUGAAACUCAGGACUGCUCUUGCAGCGCAACGUCAGCAGCAGUCCCUUCCCUGGAACACUCUGGAAGUCUGAGGAACCUGCAGGCACCUGUGGUUGCUGGAGCUCUCUUCUCCGCGAGAGGCAGCAGGCAGUUCUCCGUGGAGGGACCCAGAUGGUCUGCAUUCAAGAAUGUAAGAAAGGCCCUUAAGCAAGACCUGUCUUUUAUUUUCUCUUGCACACAGUCUUUGGAUUCAUCAUUAGGGUCACAGACAAACCCCUGAAGUCUUGCUCUCAGAAUAAAUGUGAAUUUCAUUCAAAGAAA
rnacentral:lncRNA from 1 species